UACGUAGGGUGCAAGCGUUAAUCGGAAUUACUGGGCGUAAAGCGUGCGCAGGCGGUUGUGCAAGACAGAUGUGAAAUCCCCGGGCUCAACCUGGGAACUGCGUUUGAAACUACAGGGCUAGAGUAUGGGAGAGGGAGGUAGAAUUCCACGUGUAGCAGUGAAAUGCGUAGAGAUGUGGAGGAAUACCAAUGGCGAAGGCAGCCUCCUGGCCUAAUACUGACGCUCAUGCACGAAAGCGUGGGGAGCAAACAGG
rnacentral:rRNA from 1 species